AUUGAACGCUGGCGGCAUGCCUUACACAUGCAAGUCGAACGGCAGCACGGGAGCAAUCCUGGUGGCGAGUGGCGAACGGGUGAGUAAUAUAUCGGAACGUGCCCGGUCGUGGGGAUAACGUAGCGAAAGCUACGCUAAUACCGCAUACGAUCUACGGAUGAAAGCGGGGGAUCGCAAGACCUCGCGCGAUUGGAGCGGCCGAUAUCAGAUUAGGUAGUUGGUGAGGUAAAGGCUCACCAAGCCGACGAUCUGUAGCUGGUCUGAGAGGACGACCAGCCACACUGGGACUGAGACACGGCCCAGACUCCUACGGGAGGCAGCAGUGGGGAAUUUUGGACAAUGGGCGGCAAGCCUGAUCCAGCAAUGCCGCGUGCAGGAUGAAGGCCUUCGGUUGGUAAC
rnacentral:rRNA from 1 species